CUUUUUCUGUGUGUUGUGGUUCUCCAGGAAAGAAGGGAACAGGAAGCAGUUAUGCUCUAAAAAGCUUUAAGCCAGAGCUGUCUGCAAAACACAUUUGGGACCGUGGAGGCCCUGAGAGCCUGGGCUGCUGAGGAGCCACAAAUCUGGAGCUUGGGAGCCAGGGCUUCCAGGCACCUGACUCCCCCUCAUCUCACCAGAUGGGCUGCCAAGGAGCUGGUUGCCUAGAAGCUCUGGGAGCCUGGGCUCCCAGUAGCCCAUCAAAGAGACUUCUGAGAAACUGGGAGGAACUCCUGCCUGAUUUCCAUUGUGAUUGCUUUGAAAUUGACAGGUCUCCAGGGAAUGUUUUGGAUUUUGAUGAAUCAGCAAAUUUGGACAAAAAUGAAACGUUUAACGAUGGAAUGCAGAAUGUCAACAGACUGGAAUUCGAAUGCUUUAUUAUACCUGAUGUAAAACAUGUUAAUUUUCUUUUUAGUCUAGCCCAUGUUCAUACAUCAUUUGCCUUGCUCUUGUGAAAUGGGAAUAGCAGCUCCUGGCUCUAAAAAGUGUUUUCAUUGUUUUCUCUAUCAAAUGUUUCAAGAUACAUUGUAUCAAAUUAAAAUAGAAUUGAAUUGCAGUAAAGCUACUAAAAGAAUUCAUUGCACUCCACACAGUUUGCACUAAAGAUACUAUGCAGUGUGAAUGGGCAGUUCAAUGCCAAAGGAUUUGUACUUAUGUGCUUGUUGUAAUAAAAGUUGCAUAUGAAUACAUCAUUCAGUGUAUUUA